UACGUAGGGUGCAAGCGUUAAUCGGAAUUACUGGGCGUAAAGCGUGCGCAGGCGGUUAUGUAAGACAGGUGUGAAAUCCCCGGGCUUAACCUGGGAAUGGCAUUUGGGACUGCAAGGCUGGAGUGUGGCAGAGGAGACUGGAAUUCCUGGUGUAGCAGUGAAAUGCGUAGAUAUCAGGAGGAAUACCGAUGGCGAAGGCAGGUCUCUGGGCUGACACUGACGCUCAUGCACGAAAGCGUGGGGAGCAAACAGG
rnacentral:rRNA from 1 species